rnacentral:rRNA from 1 species
CCUACGUGAGGCAGCAGUGAGGAAUAUUGGUCAAUGGGCGCGAGCCUGAACCAGCCAAGUCGCGUGAAGGAUGACGGUCCUAUGGAUUGUAAACUUCUUUUGUGCAGGAAUAAAGUGAGGAACGUGUUCCUUUUUGUAUGUACUGUACGAAUAAGCAUCGGCUAACUCCGUGCCAGCAGCCGCGUUAAUACGGAGGAUGCGGGCGUUAUCCGUAUUAAGGGGGUUUAAGGGGGCUGAUGAGUCAGUGGUGAAAGUUUGCAGCUUAACUGUAAAAUUGCCAUUGAAACUGUUAGUCUUGAGUGCAAAUGAGGUAGGCGGAAUGUGUUGUGUAGCGGUGAAAUGCUUAGAUAUAACACAGAACUCCGAUUGCGAAGGCAGCUUACUGGGAUGCAACUGACGCUGAUGCACGAAAGCGUGGGUAUCAAACAGGAUUAGAUACCCCAGUAGUC